rnacentral:rRNA from 1 species
CCCGUCGGCUAGGCCACUGUCUGUAGCCCAAGAAUUUGCCAAUUGAAGCUAAGCAAAGAUGAGCCUGGUCAGCACAUAGAUGGGAGACCAACUUCGAAAAACGGUUGCUGUUGGAA